rnacentral:rRNA from 1 species
UACGUAGGGCGCAAGCGUUAUCCGGAAUUAUUGGGCGUAAAGAGCUCGUAGGCGGUUUGUCGCGUCUGCCGUGAAAGUCCGGGGCUCAACUCCGGAUCUGCGGUGGGUACGGGCAGACUAGAGUGAUGUAGGGGAGACUGGAAUUCCUGGUGUAGCGGUGAAAUGCGCAGAUAUCAGGGGGAACACCGAUGGCGAAGGCAGGUCUCUGGGCAUUAACUGACGCUGAGGAGCGAAAGCAUGGGGAGCGAACAGG